rnacentral:rRNA from 1 species
UACGUAGGGUGCAAGCGUUAUCCGGAUUCACUGGGUUUAAAGGGUGCGUAGGUGGGCAAGUAAGUCAGUGGUGAAAUCUCCGGGCUUAACCCGGAAACUGCCAUUGAUACUAUUUGUCUUGAAUACUGUGGAGGUCAGCGGAAUAUGUCAUGUAGCGGUGAAAUGCUUAGAUAUGACAUAGAACACCAAUUGCGAAGGCAGCUGGCUGCACAAAUAUUGGCACUGAGGCACGAAAGCGUGGGGAGCAAACAGG